UGAGAUGCCAUGUGAUUUACUGUGAU
rnacentral:piRNA from 1 species